rnacentral:rRNA from 1 species
GAUGAACGCUGGCGGCGUGCUUAACACAUGCAAGUCGAACGAAACACCUUAUUUGAUUUUCUUCGGAACUGAAGAUUUGGUGAUUGAGUGGCGGACGGGUGAGUAACGCGUGGGUAACCUGCCCUGUACAGGGGGAUAACAGUCAGAAAUGACUGCUAAUACCGCAUAAGACCACAGCACCGCAUGGUGCAGGGGUAAAAACUCCGGUGGUACAGGAUGGACCCGCGUCUGAUUAGCUGGUUGGUGAGGUAACGGCUCACCAAGGCGACGAUCAGUAGCCGGCUUGGGAGAGUGAACGGCCACAUUGGGACUGAGACACGGCCCAAACUCCUACGGGAGGCAGCAGUGGGGAAUAUUGCACAAUGGGGGAAACCCUGAUGCAGCGACGCCGCGUGAGUGAAGAAGUAUUUCGGUAUGUAAAGCUCUAUCAGCAGGGAAGAAAAUGACGGUACCUGACUAAGAAGCCCCGGCUAACUACGUG